rnacentral:rRNA from 1 species
AUUGAACGCUGGCGGCAGGCCUAACACAUGCAAGUCGAACGAGUGGCGGACGGGUGAGUAAUGUCUGGGAAACUGCCCGAUGGAGGGGGAUAACUACUGGAAACGGUAGCUAAUACCGCAUACCAUCGGAUGUGCCCAGAUGGGAUUAGCUAGUAGGUGGGGUAACGGCUCACCUAGGCGACGAUCCCUAGCUGGUCUGAGAGGAUGACCAGCCAACUCGGAGCUGAAACACGCUCCAGACUCUUACGGGAGGCAGCAGGAGGGAAUCUUGAACAAUGGGCCCAAGCCUGAUGCAGCCAUGCCGCAUGUAUGAAGAAGGCCUUCUGGUUGUAAAGUACUUCCAGCGAGAAGGCGUUACUCGCAGAAGAAGCACCGGCUAACUCCGUGCCAGCAGCCGCGGUAAUUC